ensembl:lncRNA
UUCAAAUGUGAGAGACGGAAUCUAAAACAAAAAUCCAGAAAAUCACAUUGUAUGAUUUUUAAGUAAUUAAUUUGCAUUUGGUACAGAAACCUUUGUUUGCAAUUACAGAGAUCAUACGUUUCCUGUAGUUCUUGACCAGGUUUGCACACACUGCAGCAGGGAUUGGCAACGCCGUUUUGCAGAUACCCAGCUGGGGCCUGCCCGCUGACACAGGUGGUUUGCUUUGGCCUCCUGGCCCCUGCUCCCCCAUCUUCCAGUAAUCCGACCAGAUCCCAACAUCAUGCCACAGCCAACCCCAUCUCAUGUCCCGCCUGGAGAACCUCCUGGAGAGGGUACGCUGCUCCACGGCUGCAGCCCAGAACCACUGAAAAGAGAAAGAGGGCCCGUCCCUCCAGAAGGUCCCCUGGGAUGAGAUGCCAUUAUGGAGGAUGGAGAGGUCCUGGUCUACUUCCCCAAGGAGGGACUGAAGAACUUCCAGCCCCCUGCAGAGUGGACAGAGGAGGUCAGACUCACACACCAGGAGAAGCAGCAGGAGACGCAGGGAGCCAGUCCAGGAAGACUUGCAGCUCUCUCUCGGCCGGAUCCCCCCACACCCUGCCCCACCUUCGACUUCACACACACCCCCUCGCCCCAGAAGGUCCUCCACAGUCUUCAGGAUGAGAGGGCCCACAGCCAGGGGUGGGAGGAGCAGCUGCAGCGCUGGCUAGAAGUGGCUAACUCUCCAUGACUAACUGCAUGUCCCCCAACGGUACUGCUGCUGCACAGAACAGCAAUUACUCACCACGCACUGGAAGAAGCUUUUUCCUUUAACGAGUCCGAUGAGAAGGAUACACUGCUUUCCCGGGAACAGGCCCAAAACCCUGUCAUUUGAGGGGGCGGCAGGUAGAGCGUUGGACCAGUAACCGAAAGGUUGCUAGAUUGAAUCCCUGAGCUGACAAGGAAGUACCAGUGACUCGCUCAAUACGGAAGUGGUCAGAUGACGCAGAUGCUAUGCUACAGGACUGUUUUGCUAGCACAGACUGGAAUAUGUUCCGGGAUUCAUCCGAUGACAUCGAGGAGUACACCACCUUAGUCAUCGGCUUCAUCAAUAAGUACAUCGACGACGUCAUCCCCACAGUGACCGUACGUUCAUAUCCCAACCAGCAGCCAUGGAUUACAGGCAACAUCCGCAUUGACCUAAAGGCUAGAGCUGCCGCUUUCAAGGAGGGAGACACUAAUCCGGACUCUUAUAAGAAAUCCUGCUAUGCCCCCAGACGAACAAUCAAACAAGCAAAGCGUCAAUACGGGACUAAGAUUGAAUCCUACUACACUGGCCCUGAUGCUCGUCCGAUGUGGCAGGGCUUGAAAACUAUUACGGACUACAAAGGGAAACCCAGAUGCGAGCUGCCCAGUGACGCGAGCCUACCUACCAGACGAACUAAAUGCCUUUUUAAGCUCGCUUCGAGGCAAGCAACACUGAAGCAUCCACGAGAGUACCAGCUGUUCUGGAUGACUAUGUAAUAACGCUCUCGGUAGCCGAUGUGAGCAAGACCUAAAGGUCAACAUUCACAAAGCCGCAGGGCCAGACGGAUUACCAGGACGUCUACUCAAAGCAUGCGUGGACCAACUGGCAGGUGUCUUCACUGACAUUUUCAACCUCUCCCUGACCAAGUCUGUAAUACCUACAUGUUUCAAGCAGACCACCAUAGUCCCUGUGCCCAAGGAAGCGUCGGUACCUACUCACGUAGGUAGGCAUUACGUGCUUUGAAAAUGCAGGGGACCAGUGGAUCACAGCUAUGGGACACAGCUUUUGCAGUACAGGCCUUUCUAGAGGCAGGGGAUCAGGACAGCUCAGUUUAGAAGAGUGCCUUAAACACGCCCACAAGUUCCUAACCAUCACACAGCCAGGUCCUGGGGAGUGUGCUUCACCUGUGGGGUUUGGUUCGGCUUGGAGGCCUUGGCCUGCAUGGGUCAUAGCUACCACAAUGGAGGGCCUGUGACUUCCUGAUGGCCCUCCAGAUGAAGGACAGGGGGCUGGGGGUGAGGACUUUGAGUCCUGUGAGCAACGUCGCUAUGUCCAGAGCGCUAACUCCCAGAGCAGGCCAACACCUGCUUGGCCUCAUGGCUGCCAGGUAACUGCCUAUGUAACUGCCUUGUAACAACCUAUGUUACUGCCUUGUAACUACCUAUGUGACUGCCUUGUGACUACCUAUGUGACUGCAUUGUAACUACCUAUGUGACUGCAUUGUUACCACCUUGUAACUACCUAUGUGACUCCAACUAAACUUCCUGUAGACGGGUUGGAUGUUUAGCAACAAAACCUAACGCUUGCUUAACUAUGGGGCAAAAGAUUUUAGAUUGAUUUAGGUUGAUUUAGAUUGUGAACAACAUGUAUACAAAAUUG